GACCUCACAGAUCAAAAAAAAAAAAACGUCGAAAGCCUUCUCCUCACCUCUACCAUUUCGUCUUCUCGAAUCAAGAGCAAAGAAGCCGAGAACCACUUCUACACAAUCAAUACUUUCGAUUCAAUAAUGAUUCCGUUUCAUCUUCCUCUUUUCCUCUUUCUGUAUGUACUGAUCUUCUCUCUUUCGUACAAACCAAAACCCUAGAACCACUCAAAGCUCAAUCCAUGGCGAUGAAACCACAAUUACGGGUAUGAAAUUUUCUUUUGCUUAGUAAGAAAGAACCACUUAACCUAACUAAUUUUAUUAACCAAUAAAUUUUCAACGCCUCCCUCAACCAGACGCUUCUCUCCAAUUCUCACCUGCUCCCAACAGGUAUUGUUACAGUAAUAUUUGUUCAGUCUCAGAUUGGUCAGUUUUGUGUUGAUUGGUUUCACCGUAGUGUAUGGCUUUUGAUGAAAUUAUAUCAUGUUCUGCUAUGUUUCUAUGCGGUGAAGUUAUGAUUUUCAUUUGAUUUUGCUCUGUUUUUAUAAUAUGAAAGGCUUGAGCUUUCUCUGUUUUGGUCAUUCAUUACUCAUCUGUGAAUCUUGGUUUCACCAGAGUGUAAGGAUUUUGAUGAGAUCUUAUCAUGUUCUGCUCUGUUUUUAGUGGUGGAAAUUAUGAUAUUUCAUUCCAUUGCUCUGUUUGUUAGAAUCUAAAAAACUCCAGCUUUCUUGCUCAUCUGUGAAUCUUGGUUUCACCAGAGUGUAAGGAUUUUGAUGAGAUCUUAUCAUGUUCUGCUCUGUUUUUAGUGGUGGAAAUUAUGAUAUUUCAUUCCAUUGCUCUGUUUGUUAGAAUCUAAAAAACUCCAGCUUUCUUGGUUUUGGUCCAUUCACGUACAAAUCUCCUUUUUUUACCUUUUUAUGGCUUUUGCUUCUUGAAUCAGAAAGUGAAAAACAUAUAUUUGAGAGAUCUUUGAUAGGUCCUAAUGCACCCAUGUUCUUGUGUUUGUUAGAUUCAAUGGCUUCUUAAGCUUUCAAAAAUUCCCGAACUCACCGAAGUUCCAAGCUUUAGUAAAGAAGCUGAGGCUUACUUGCAAGCGAUCAUCGAUGGGUUCAACGUGGAUGCCGCGUUGGAAGUCAAGAAGAUCGAGAAAGUAACCAACCACGAUGUCAAGGCAGUGGAGUACUUCUUGAAACAAAAGUGUGAAUCUCAUCCAGAGUUUGCUAAGGUUCUUGAGUUUUCCAUUUCGCUUGCACCUCUGAGGACAUCAACAACCUCUCCCACCGUUUGAUGCUUCGAGAAUCGCUUAGCUCCGUUAUACUCCCGUCCAUGGAUGAGCUCAUCAAGUUUUUAUCAUUUUUUUUUGUUUCUUCGUUGCUUUUUACACAAGUUUUUAUUUUGUUGUUGUUGCUGCAGAGGUGGCUUCUUGGAUGUCACGGUAGAGAGACAAGCAGCGAGGAUAAGGAGUAUGUAUCUGAAAACAAUUCUCAGACAAGACAUUGGAUUUUUCAAUGUGGAAACAAACACAGGAGAGGUUGUUGGUAGAAUGUCUGGAGAUACUGUUCUUCUACAAGACGCGCCAUGGGUGAGAAGGUUGGGAAGUUUAUUCAGCUGGUAUCUACAUUCGUCGGUGGAUUUGCAUUAGCUUUUGUUAAAGGAUGGCUAAGGUCUUCAUCGAGAAUUAUAUAUUAUGUACAAAAGGUGAGAAUAUCUCAUCCAGAGUUUGCUAAGGUUCUUGAGUUUUCCAUUUCGCUUGCACCUCUGAGGACAUCAACAACCUCUCCCACCGUUUGAUGCUUCGAGAAUCGCUUAGCUCCAGGUGGCUUCUUGGAUGUCACGGUAGAGAGACAAGCAGCGAGGAUAAGGAGUAUGUAUCUGAAAACAAUUCUCAGACAAGACAUUGGAUUUUUCAAUGUGGAAACAAACACAGGAGAGGUUGUUGGUAGAAUGUCUGGAGAUACUGUUCUUCUACAAGACGCCAUGGGUGAGAAGGUUGGGAAGUUUAUUCAGCUGGUAUCUACAUUCGUCGGUGGAUUUGCAUUAGCUUUUGUUAAAGGAUGGCUAAGGUCUUCAUCGAGAAUUAUAUAUUAUGUACAAAAGGUGAGAAUAUCUCAUCCAGAGUUUGCUAAGGUUCUUGAGUUUUCCAUUUCGCUUGCACCUCUGAGGACAUCAACAACCUCUCCCACCGUUUGAUGCUUCGAGAAUCGCUUAGCUCCGUUAUACUCCCGUCCAUGGAUGAGCUCAUCAAGUUUUUAUCAUUUUUUUUUUGUUUCUUCGUUGCUUUUUACACAAGUUUUUAUUUUGUUGUUGUUGCUGCAGAGGUGGCUUCUUGGAUGUCACGGUAGAGAGACAAGCAGCGAGGAUAAGGAGUAUGUAUCUGAAAACAAUUCUCAGACAAGACAUUGGAUUUUUCAAUGUGGAAACAAACACAGGAGAGGUUGUUGGUAGAAUGUCUGGAGAUACUGUUCUUCUACAAGACGCGCCAUGGGUGAGAAGGUUGGGAAGUUUAUUCAGCUGGUAUCUACAUUCGUCGGUGGAUUUGCAUUAGCUUUUGUUAAAGGAUGGCUAAGGUCUUCAUCGAGAAUUAUAUAUUAUGUACAAAAGCAACAAGGUUCACAACGGUUAUACAAAUAGAGGAAAAUGAUCCCGAUGAUGCCUCUUACCACAUUCCAUCCCCUCCGAUACAAACAGUUGAUCGACAUAGCCACUGGUACCAACAACUUACCAGAUGUAGUUGGACAAAUAAGAAUGUUUCAAGGUAACGAUCUCCGAGGGCAACAACGGAGGUCAGAAUUGGUCUACUACUAAA